rnacentral:rRNA from 1 species
AUGCAGUCGAGCGGUAGAGAGAAGCUUGCUUCUCUUGAGAGCGGCGGACGGGUGAGUAAUGCCUAGGAAUCUGCCUGGUAGUGGGGGAUAACGUCCGGAAACGGACGCUAAUACCGCAUACGUCCUACGGGAGAAAGCAGGGGACCUUCGGGCCUUGCGCUAUCAGAUGAGCCUAGGUCGGAUUAGCUAGUUGGUGAGGUAAUGGCUCACCAAGGCGACGAUCCGUAACUGGUCUGAGAGGAUGAUCAGUCACACUGGAACUGAGACACGGUCCAGACUCCUACGGGAGGCAGCAGUGGGGAAUAUUGGACAAUGGGCGAAAGCCUGAUCCAGCCAUGCCGCGUGUGUGAAGAAGGUCUUCGGAUUGUAAAGCACUUUAAGUUGGGAGGAAGGGUACUUACCUAAUACGUGAGUAUUUUGACGUUACCGACAGAAUAAGCACCGGCUAACUCUGUGCCAGCAGCCGCGGUAAUACAGAGGGUGCAAGCGUUAAUCGGAAUUACUGGGCGUAAAGCGCGCGUAGGUGGUUCGUUAAGUUGGAUGUGAAAUCCCCGGGCUCAACCUGGGAACUGCAUCCAAAACUGGCGAGCUAGAGUAUGGUAGAGGGUGGUGGAAUUUCCUGUGUAGCGGUGAAAUGCGUAGAUAUAGGAAGGAACACCAGUGGCGAAGGCGACCACCUGGACUGAUACUGACACUGAGGUGCGAAAGCGUGGGGAGCAAACAGGAUUAGAUACCCUGGUAGUCCACGCCGUAAACGAUGUCAACUAGCCGUUGGGAGCCUUGAGCUCUUAGUGGCGCAGCUCACGCAUUAAGUUGACUGCCUGGGGAGUACGGCCGCAAGGUUAAGACUCAUAUGAAUUGACGGGCGCCCGCACAAGCGGUGGAGCAUGUGGUUUAAUUCGAAACAACGCAAAGAAGCUUACCAGGCCUUGACAUCCAAUGAACUUUCCAGAGAUGGAUUG